rnacentral:rRNA from 1 species
GAUGAACGCUAGCGGCAGGCCUAACACAUGCAAGUCGAGGGAGAAGCCCUUUCGGGGGCAGUAACCGGCGCACGGGUGCGUAACGCGUAUGCAACCUACCUUUCACAGGGGGAUAGCUCGAAGAAAUUUGGAUUAAUACCCCAUAAUAUUAUUGGAUGGCAUCAUUUGAUAAUUAAAACUGCGGUGGUGAAAGAUGGGCAUGCGUCCUAUUAGCUAGUUGGAGUGGUAACGGCACCCCAAGGCUACGAUAGGUAGGGGUCCUGAGAGGGAGAUCCCCCACACUGGUACUGAGACAGGGACCAGACUCCUACGGGAGGCAGCAGUGAGGAAUAUUGGUCAAUGGUCGGAAGACUGAACCAGCCAUGCCGCGUGCAGGAAGAAUGCCUUAUGGGUUGUAAACUGCUUUUAUAUGGGAAGAAUAAGGCGUACGUGUACGUUGAUGACGGUACCAGAUGAAUAAGCAUCGGCUAACUCCGUG